GUGCUUGCUUUAGCAGCACGUGUAUUAAAAUUGGAACGAUACAGAGAAGAUAGCACAGCCCCUGCCUGCACAAGAAGGGCACACAAAUCUGUGAAGUGUUCUACAUUAAA
ensembl:snRNA U6 U6 spliceosomal RNA